AUGCUAUCUAGUGUUUUUUUUUUUUUUUUUUUUUUUUUUUUUUUUUUUUUUUUUUUUUUUUUUUUUUUUUUUUUUUUUUUUUUUUUUUUUUUUUUUUUUUUUUUUUUUUUUUUUUUUUUUUUUUUUUUUUUUUUUUUUUUUUUUUUUUUUUUUUUUUUUUUUUUUUUUUUUUUUUUUUUUUUUUUUUUUUUUUUUUUUUUUUUUUUUUUUUUUUUUUUUUUUUUUUUUUUUUUUUUUUUUUUUUUUUUUUUUUUUUUUUUUUUUUUUUUUUUUUUUUUUUUUUUUUUUUUUUUUUUUUUUUUUUUUUUUUUUUUUUUUUUUUUUUUUUUUUUUUUUUUUUUUUUUUUUUUUUUUUUUUUUUUUUUUUUUUUUUUUUUUUUUUUUUUUUUUUUUUUUUUUUUUUUUUUUUUUUUUUUUUUUUUUUUUUUUUUUUUUUUUUUUUUUUUUUUUUUUUUUUUUUUUUUUUUUUUUUUUUUUUUUUUUUUUUUUUUUUUUUUUUUUUUUUUUUUUUUUUUUUUUUUUUUUUUUUUUUUUUUUUUUUUUUUUUUUUUUUUUUUUUUUUUUUUUUUUUUUUUUUUUUUUUUUUUUUUUUUUUUUUUUUUUUUUUUUUUUUUUUUUUUUUUUUUUUUUUUUUUUUUUUUUUUUUUUUUUUUUUUUUUUUUUUUUUUUUUUUUUUUUUUUUUUUUUUUUUUUUUUUUUUUUUUUUUUUUUUUUUUUUUUUUUUUUUUUUUUUUUUUUUUUUUUUUUUUUUUUUUUUUUUUUUUUUUUUUUUUUUUUUUUUUUUUUUUUUUUUUUUUUUUUUUUUUUUUUUUUUUUUUUUUUUUUUUUUUUUUUUUUUUUUUUUUUUUUUUUUUUUUUUUUUUUUUUUUUUUUUUUUUUUUUUUUUUUUUUUUUUUUUUUUUUUUUUUUUUUUACCGCACCCGUCUACACGGCCGUCGGGCCAGGAUGCCGGGCCGUCCAUCCCCUGCAAGCGCCGCGGCCAGCGAGGAGGAUGAAGCCGCUAGAAGAAGCCGCCGCCCCUCGCGCCCCGGACCGAAGAGGGGAGCGCGUGCGGCCGCCGGACUCCGCCCCUUACCUGGACCCUUCCUCCAUGAAAACUGCCAGACCCUCACGAACCCCGCAGCACGACGAGGACACCAGAUUCCCUGUUGUUUUGGACACUCUUCCCCUUUUGGACACUUUAUUCCCUCUCUUUUUGUUUUUUUCUGUUAA
rnacentral:lncRNA from 12 species